UGGCCUACUAUUGGGUCCGGAAACGGACUGACCUUAAAUUUCGGCGGACGGGCUGAGUAAUGCUUAGGAAUCUGCCUAUUAGUGGGGGACAACAUUCCGAAAGGAAUGCUAAUACCGCAUACGCCCUACGGGGGAAAGCAGGGGAUCUUCGGACCUUGCGCUAAUAGAUGAGCCUAAGUCGGAUUAGCUAGUUGGUGGGGUAAAGGCCUACCAAGGCGACGAUCUGUAGCGGGUCUGAGAGGAUGAUCCGCCACACUGGGACUGAGACACGGCCCAGACUCCUACGGGAGGCAGCAGUGGGGAAUAUUGGACAAUGGGCGGAAGCCUGAUCCAGCCAUGCCGCGUGUGUGAAGAAGGCCUUUUGGUUGUAAAGCACUUUAAGCGAGGAGGAGGCUACUGGUACUAAUACUACUGGAUAGUGGACGUUACUCGCAAAUAAGCACCGGCUAACUCUGUGCCAGCAGCCGCGGUAAUACAGAGGGUGCGAGCGUUAAUCGGAUUUACUGGGCGUAAAGCGUGCGUAGGCGGCUGAUUAAGUCGGAUGUGAAAUCCCUGAGCUUAACUUAGGAAUUGCAUUCGAUACUGGUCAGCUAGAGUAUGGGAGAGGAUGGUAGAAUUCCAGGUGUAGCGGUGAAAUGCGUAGAGAUCUGGAGGAAUACCGAUGGCGAAGGCAGCCAUCUGGCCUAAUACUGACGCUGAGGUACGAAAGCAUGGGGAGCAAACAGGAUUAGAUACCCUGGUAGUCCAUGCCGUAAACAUGUCUACUAGCCGUUGGGGCCUUUGAGGCUUUAGUGGCGCAGCUAACGCGAAUAAGUAGACCGCCCUGGGGGAGUACGGUCCCAAGACUUAAAACUUCAAAUGAAUUUGACGGGGGCCCCCGCACAAAGCGGUGGGAGCAUGUGGGUUUAAUUUCGAUGCAACCCCGAAAAACCUUUACCCUGGGUCCUUGACAUAAAAAGAAAUUUUCCAAAAAAUGGGAUUGGGUGGCCUUCGGGAAACUUAAACAGGGUGCCUGCAUGGGCUGUUCCUCACCUCGUGUCUGAAAUUUUUUGGGUUAAAUCCCCCAAACAAGCCCACCCCUUUUUCUUUUUUUCCAGCCUUUCGGG
rnacentral:rRNA from 1 species